rnacentral:SRP_RNA from 1 species
AAUAAUAGCUAUUACAACAUAAGCAUCGAACCGUGUCAGGCUAGAAAUAGAGCAGCACUAAGAUAACUUUUGUGUGUAAUAGCUUUUUUUAUUUA